rfam:Triticum aestivum genome assembly, contig: Triticum_aestivum_CS42_TGACv1_scaffold_328831_4BS
UGGCUGUGAUGACAACUAGAUUAUUUCUUCAUACCUUAAUUUCAGUUAAGGACCAAAUCUGAUGACUUUAUUUGUGCGUGUCUGAGCCGG